GAUACCCUGGUAGUCCACGCAGUAAACGAUGAAUACUAAUUGUCCGGGACGAAUGAGUCCUGGGUGAUACAGCGAAAGCGUUAAGUAUUCCACCUGGGGAGUACGCCGGCAACGGUGAAACUCAAAGGAAUUGACGGGGGCCCGCACAAGCAGUGGAUUAUGUGGUUUAAUUCGAAGCAACGCGAAGAACCUUACCAGGUCUUGACAUCCAACUAACGAGAUAGAGAUAUGUUAGGUGCCCUUCGGGGAAAGUUGAGACAGGUGGUGCAUGGUUGUCGUCAGCUCGUGUCGUGAGAUGUUGGGUUAAGUCCCGCAACGAGCGCAACCCCUGCCAUUAGUUGCUACGCAAGAGCACUCUAAUGGGACCGCUACCGACAAGGUGGAGGAAGGUGGGGACGACGUCAAAUCAUCAUGCCCCUUAUGACUUGGGCUACACACGUGCUACAAUGGCGUAAACAAAGGGAAGCGAGACCGGGAGGUUAAGCAAAUCCCAAAAAUAACGUCUCAGUUCGGAUUGUAGUCUGCAACUCGACUACAUGAAGCUGGAAUCGCUAGUAAUCGCAGAUCAGAAUGCUGCGGUGAAUACGUUCCCGGGUCUUGUACACACCGCCCGUCACACCAUGGGAGUCGGAAAUGCCCGAAGCCGGUGACCCAACCAAAAGGAGGGAGCCGUCGAAGGCAGGUCUGAUGACUGGGGUGAAGUCGUAACAAGGUACC
rnacentral:rRNA from 1 species